UGGGGAAUUUUACGCAAUGGGCGAAAGCCUGACGUAGCGACACCGCGUGAGCGAAGAAGCCCCUUGGGGUGUAAAGCUCUGUCAGCUGGAACGAAAAAAAUGACGGUACCAGCAGAGGAAGCAUCGGCUAACUACGUGCCAGCAGCCGCGGUAAGACGUAGGAUGCAAGCGUUGUCCGGAUUUAUUGGGCGUAAAGAGUUCGUAGGUGGUUUGUUAAGUUUGGUGUUAAAGAUUGGGGCUCAACCCUGAAACUGCACUGAAUACUGGCAGACUCGAGUGUGGUAGAGGCUAGUGGAAUUCCCAGUGUAGCGGUGAAAUGCGUAGAUAUUGGGAAGAACACCGGUGGCGUAGGCGACUAGCUGGGCCAUAACUGACACUGAGGAACGAAAGCCAGGGGAGCGAAUG
rnacentral:rRNA from 1 species